ensembl:lncRNA
GAAAGGAGAGGGGAGAUGACGGUGUUUGUGUGUUCCUCCGCGAUCCCUUUCCCGUCUAGCGCUCAAGCGCGCGCGUCCUACCCCGUCUCGAUUUCCGCUGUGAACCAGGCGAGUGAAUACCAGCGGUGCCAUGGAAUCCAAAUCGUACGCCCUUUACAGACAGAUAACAGGAUUUACCCAGAGAAGGAGUUCAGUGCCGUUGAGGACUCCCAAGUGAUUAGUUUGACUUGAUGUCAUGGGGAGAGGGAGAGAGAAGGAAAGUUUGUAGGGGAGAGAGAUGGCGGGAGAUGGACAGAGAUAGAGAGAGAGACUGAGAGGAGGAGAGGGAGAGAGGAAGAAAGAGAGAGGUUGAGAGAGAAUGAGAGUUAUUGUGUGUGCUAAACUGGGUUAGUGACGCUGGUAUCAACAAUCAGACUACAGUCCAUGUUAUUGAUCGGGUUUUAAUCGAUCAGACUAUAGGCUGUGUAAUUGAUGAUGGUAUCAAUGAUCAGACUUGUAUUUCAGCUUCAUACACAUAUCCUCGCUGAAAGGGGAAGGAACGAUGGAUUAUUAUGGGCUGCUUCAGGG